GGGUUGUGAGGUUAAGCGACUAAGCGUACACGGUGGAUGCCCUGGCAGUCAGAGGCGAUGAAGGGCGUGCUAAUCUGCGAUAAGCGCCGGUAAGGUGAUAUGAACCGUUAUAACCGGCGAUACCCGAAUGGGGAAACCCAGUGUGAUUCGUCACACUAUCAUUAACUGAAUCCAUAGGUUAAUGAGGCGAACCGGGGGAACUGAAACAUCUAAGUACCCCGAGGAAAAGAAAUCAACCGAGAUUCCCCCAGUAGCGGCGAGCGAACGGGGAGGAGCCCAGAGCCUGAAUCAGCAUGUGUGUUAGUGGAAGCGUCUGGAAAGGUGCGCGAUACAGGGUGACAGCCCCGUACACAAAAGCGCAUGUGCUGUGAGCUCGAUGAGUAGGGCGGGACACGUGGUAUCCUGUCUGAAUAUGGGGGGACCAUCCUCCAAGGCUAAAUACUCCUGACUGACCGAUAGUGAACCAGUACCGUGAGGGAAAGGCGAAAAGAACCCCGGCGAGGGGAGUGAAAAAGAACCUGAAACCGUGUACGUACAAGCAGUGGGAGCACAGGUUUACCUGUGUGACUGCGUACCUUUUGUAUAAUGGGUCAGCGACUUAUAUUCUGUAGCAAGGUUAACCGUAUAGGGGAGCCGUAGGGAAACCGAGUCUUAACCGGGCGUUAAGUUGCAGGGUAUAGACCCGAAACCCGGUGAUCUAGCCAUGGGCAGGUUGAAGGUUGGGUAACACUAACUGGAGGACCGAACCGACUAAUGUUGAAAAAUUAGCGGAUGACCUGUGGCUGGGGGUGAAAGGCCAAUCAAACCGGGAGAUAGCUGGUUCUCCCCGAAAGCUAUUUAGGUAGCGCCUCGUGAAUUCAUCUCCGGGGGUAGAGCACUGUUUCGGCUAGGGGGCCAUCCCGGCUUACCAACCCGAUGCAAACUGCGAAUACCGGAGAAUGUUAUCACGGGAGACACACGGCGGGUGCUAACGUCCGUCGUGAAGAGGGAAACAACCCAGACCGCCAGCUAAGGUCCCAAAGUCAUGGUUAAGUGGGAAACGAUGUGGGAAGGCCCAGACAGCCAGGAUGUUGGCUUAGAAGCAGCCAUCAUUUAAAGAAAGCGUAAUAGCUCACUGGUCGAGUCGGCCUGCGCGGAAGAUGUAACGGGGCUAAACCAUGCACCGAAGCUGCGGCAGCGAACGUAUCACCCAAGACAACUUUACGGAGUUGACGAUUGACGGAGCGAAGCGACGUCAAAGCGUUCAUUAAAGUCGAGUUGGCUUAGGGAUACGUUCGUUGGGUAGGGGAGCGUUCUGUAAGCCUGUGAAGGUGUGUCGUGAGGC
rnacentral:rRNA from 1 species